ACAAACAGCGAUUGUGACAUCUCCUACCACUAACAUUUUGUCAUAAUUACACGGUUACUAAUAUUUAAUUCGAUCAUAAAAAUUGCACGAAUUUUACAUGUUUAAAAAUUUACGUGCACAGCGAGUACAUACAAAAUACAGCCAAAAUAAUUUCAAUUUCCAUCAGUCUAUGGCCAGAGAACGUGGAAGAAUUGUAUGUACUCUGCUAUGGCUGCUAAUCUCAUUCAACGAACAUAUAACACAAUUUAUCUAUGGCUAACAGAAUAAGUGCACAAUAUAAAAACUACAAAUAAAAGUAUGUACGUGAAAUGAUCGUGUUCAGCGUUUGAAGCUACAAGUAUUCCUAAAAUAGUGCAAUGUUGUUUGUGCAGCAACAUAAACAUAAUACCAAAUAUGAGUUGACAGUUGACGGCAGUAACGCUUUUGCCCAUGACGACGCUUUGAUUUUUUCUGGAGCAGCGCAGAAUUUUUCGCAUUUUUUUUAACAUUGGAUUUUAGGCUCUUGGCGACACCUUAGCGAAAACAAAACAACACUAGACCGUAGGUGGACGCGCAAAGUUUCAUCCAGGUAGCCAAUAUAAAUAAAAUCGAAUUUCUGCAUAAAAUUAAAUUAAAGUUACCAGUCAUAAUUAGGCGGCAAACAAAGUAGAAAUUUGAAUUAGAAAAUAAAUUAUGUGCACCAUUUCCAAUAAAUCGUGCAUACAAUGCAUGUACGAACGGUUGGUAUACUUAUUUAUAUACUUGGCAAUUGUACUACUAAGUUGUGUUAUAAGAGAUAAUUGCUUUUUUAUUUUUUUAAUUUAAUAUAUUUUGGCAUUGCAAUUAACUACAUACAUAUAUUUACCGACGACAUCCAAUCAUAUUGAAGUUAACAAAGGGUGCAAAAAAAAUUUAGCAAAGGCGCAAACCGAAUAUUAAAUGUAUUAUUUUAUAUGUAUUUGCAUGACAUGGCAAGAAAAAACAUUGGCCGAGCCACAUUCCCUGCAUUUCUGUUCGCCUGGUAGAAUGAGAGUUUAAUAAACACGUGAAUUGAUUUGUCUGUAAGGAGGCUGAAAGUAAAAAAAAGCCGACAUGAAAAGAAAAUGCAAGUUGCAAGUUGAUAGUGCAGUGCAUAAAAAAAUAUUAUUGGUUAUUUUUAUUAAAGAAAUUCGACAAGGGGAAGCAACUCUGAAACAAACGAUUGUAACUAGUUUUACAUGCAGUACGAAGUAAAGGUUGCGAAAGUGUGAGAGAUUGAAGAAGUAUGCAAUAAGUGGAAAAUUACUUCUGAUACUCGACCUCGAUUAUUGUGGGAAACACCUAUUGGCAGGAAUUAAAGAAAUAAAAUAUGAUCAUAAAGUGUGAAACAUUUUACCUAAAUAUUGCAACAUCAUCGCGCGUGAAUAGAGUGAAUAUGAAAACAUCUGCUAUAAACAUAUGCACAUGUCCAAGAGAAAACAAUUAAAUGCAUAUUAAUAUUAAAUUAAAAGCAUCAACAAUGGCGUUUUUUUGUUGCACUAUAAAACAAUAACAACAACGUGUUUUGGUGAAAACAAAUCCGUUG